AUUCAGAGUUUGAUCCUGGCUCAGGAUGAACGCUGACAGAAUGCUUAACACAUGCAAGUCUACUUGAACUUCGGUUUGGGUGGCGGACGGGUGAGUAACGCGUAAAGAACUUGCCUCACAGUUAGGGACAACAUUUGGAAACGAAUGCUAAUACCUGAUAUUAUGAUUUUAGGGCAUCCUAAGAUUAUGAAAGCUAUAUGCGCUGUGAGAGAGCUUUGCGUCCCAUUAGCUAGUUGGAGAGGUAACGGCUCACCAAAGCGAUGAUGGGUAGCCGGCCUGAGAGGGUGAACGGCCACAAGGGGACUGAGACACGGCCCUUACUCCUACGGGAGGCAGCAGUGGGGAAUAUUGGACAAUGGACCAAAAGUCUGAUCCAGCAAUUCUGUGUGCACGAUGACGUUUUUCGGAAUGUAAAGUGCUUUCAGUUGGGAAGAAAAAAAUGACGGUACCAACAGAAGAAGUGACGGCUAAAUACGUGCCAGCAGCCGCGGUAAUACGUAUGUCACAAGCGUUAUCCGGAUUUAUUGGGCGUAAAGCGCGUCUAGGUGGUUAUGUAAGUCUGAUGUGAAAAUGCAGGGCUCAACUCUGUAUUGCGUUGGAAACUGCAUGACUAGAGUACUGGAGAGGUAAGCGGAACUACAAGUGUAGAGGUGAAAUUCGUAGAUAUUUGUAGGAAUGCCGAUGGGGAAGCCAGCUUACUGGACAGAUACUGACGCUAAAGCGCGAAAGCGUGGGUAGCAAACAGGAUUAGAUACCCUGGUAGUCCACGCCGUAAACGAUGAUUACUAGGUGUUGGGGGUCGAACCUCAGCGCCCAAGCUAACGCGAUAAGUAAUCCGCCUGGGGAGUACGUACGCAAGUAU
rnacentral:rRNA from 1 species